GCACCCUGUAGCACAAUGGGUCACUGUGACUUACAGUUAACUAGAAGGUUGGUGGUUCAAGCCCACCCAGGGACA